rnacentral:sRNA from 1 species
CGGAGCAUUUCGCCUCCGGAACGACGAGUUGUGAUCGGCGCGUGCGCCCCCAUCCACCCCCGCGUCGGUCCGGCGGUCCGCCCGGAUGUCCGCAUCCGGGCGGACC